GAUAAAUCAAACACAGAUACAGACACUCGGUGUGGCCGGCAAGUUUGUUAAGUCAGGUACUGGUGACAAACAGCCUGGCUGGCACUCGAAUCAGAUUCCACACACAAACAGUCCGGGAUGCCCUAUGAGAGAUACACACAAGCGUGCACUGUGGAUAGAGAGGGAGAUGGGAGAUGGCAGACAGCCAGCGGAUUAUGAAAUAUAGCAGGGUGCGUGUCUGCGUGGGACUGAUAAACACUCCGUCUGUUCUUCAUGCCUUUAUCACCUUGAUGGACGUGGGACCUGGAAACUGUGGGAGAGAAGACUUUUCCAUCUCUGUCUGUUUAUUCUCUUGAGCGAAGAGAUGUGGACCGCAGCUGUGUGGGAGUUCACAACAACCUCGGCCCAAGUGAAAGGAUCUCGUGAUUUUCCAAAUUCAAAACUUUUACAGGCGGAUUGUCAGAUGAAAUAGCUCUCUGGAGGUUGUCACGUUUCAAAGUGUCUGGUGCCAAAAGUAUAAAGGGCUAAAACUUUA